rnacentral:SRP_RNA from 1 species
AGUCAGGAACCAUGCGAGGAGUCGCCGCCCAACCCCGCCAGGUCCGGAAGGAAGCAACGGCAAGCGGAUGUCUUCUGCGCCGUGGCCUCCCUGGCCCGG